CGGGAUUAUAGUUUAGAAAGAAUUCUCGGUUUGGAGCCGAAGGGUGCCUUGGGGCUGUCUCGA
rnacentral:tRNA from 1 species